UGGACUUCUAGUAGCCAAACCAUCCAUAUGACGACGACCAUAUCUAGGAACUGGUCCAAAAAGAUCUGGUUGGGUUUGAGCAGUAUCUGGCUGCCUGCCUGCAGUCUUGUCAAGAAAAACAAUUGGCCUUUCUCCUAUAUCAUUGGGAUGCAUUAAACCAUCAUGAUGAUUAGGAAAGAACUUUGGGGGUGCAGAGCCAACCAAGGGUUCCAAUUUCAUCCCCGAAUCAUAAUUCAUACCAUGUGGUCCCUGGUCAAGAGUUUUCAGGGGUAAAUUCAUACCAAAACUAUGAGGUACCCUAUCAAGAGGUCUUGAAGGGGGAAAUUGACUUCCAUAUUUUUGAACAGAUUCAGUGUCCAAAUGAGAAGGCCUGGGGAAAUGCUUGGCAUCUUCUUCAAACUCUGCCUGAUCAACAAUUCUGCCUGGAUCCUGUGGAAAGGGAUUCAUAUGCUCAUCUAGCAAAGGCCUGAACCGAUCAUCCCGUGAUCCACUUCCUAAGGAGUCUGGCCCUGGGGCACCAUUCAAUCUCAUCGCAUUUGUGUGCAUGCCAGAUUGUUUCCCAAAUGGAUCUAGUCUUCUGCCAUCUGUAUAAUUGGGCCUCUGAUUUGGAAACAUGUCAGAUUCAUGGCCAUAUAAUGAUGUUCUUUCACCUUCCAAAGGGAGUCCAUGACCUUGAGUAGAAGGUCCCUGUGGACCAUAAUGACUUGGACCCCUCCCAAAGAUUGAAGUAGAGCCCAAGCCAGCAAUGCCAAUAGGAGAGACUUCAGGACCAUGAGACUGCUUGUACAGAGGUUGCUGGAGAUGUUCAUGGAGUGGAUUCAAAGGUUGUCCAGUAUGAGACAUAUGCCCAGAACCCAAAGACCUUGAUGGGGCGGAUGGAUGCCCAGGUAAUUGCAUGUGAUGUGGGGGUCCAGGAGGAGGUGCUUGUAACAAUGGGGAUCCAACAGGCCUUUGUUGAAGGACAGAAGGCCCAUGAGGAAUUAAAGGAGGCUGCUGCUUUCCCUGCUCGGCAAUGGGAACCAAAUGAGAGGGUUGUACCAAGCCCUCACCUUGCACCUGCCCGUGCAGAGUAAAGCCUCCAGAACAUUGUGGAGUCAUGUUCAAGUUCAAGUCCUGUAAUUUCAUACUAUGGUCUUCAAGGUGUUCACCUUCCUGCAAUGGAGGAGUUUUCAACAGAGGCCCACUUUUCAUUUCCUUGUCUUCUGACACAACAGAAUGUUCAACCCUUUUAUGGUCGGUAUUAGAACCAUCUUUCUGGUCAUUACUAGCCUCUCUAGGCUCUUUCUUUACCUGCUUAAUCAAAUACUCUCCAUUCUCAGCUCCAUGAGAUUCUGAUAUAUCCUUGACAUUACCCAUGGGUUUAUUGUCAGCAUCCACUGGCUUCAAAUAGCAUUCAGAUUUUACAGUCUUUACCGCGCCUACACCAGCCACAACACCAGAAGCAACAUCCAAAUCAUCAGGAUCCCUUUUAACAUUUUUAUGAGUAGAUUCAGCUUCUGAACUUUUCUCAAUAGUGUGAUCCCCUUGUUUCUCAGACAUUGGUCUUGAAAUAGGCCCAGACUGUAGCUCAGAAGGCGAUUGAUCUUGGUUGUUGGUCCUUAGUGCAAUUCCUGAUUGACCUGCACCAACCUCCAUUGGCUUUACCUGCAUGAGAGCAGAUGAGUGAGGAUGUGGCUGAGUUGGCACUCCAUGAGGUGGCACCAUAGGCCUUCCACCAAGAGUUUGGGCUUGAUGGGAUUGCGUGCCAUGCAGUAAUGCAACAUGCUGCUGAGGCAGUGGAUAGGCAUUAGAAGGUUGCUGGAAUGAUGGGGGCAGCCCCUGGGGACGUAUUUGAGAAUGCACAUGCAAUUGUUGCUGCGUGUAAGCACCUUGCUGAGGCACCUGAUUCUGAACUGGCACUGGCGCUUGUCCAGAAAAUGGCUGCUGCUGCACAUACUGCUGAUGGACUUGUUGCUGAACUGACUGCAUAACAAGGUGUUGAUGAGGAAGUCCAGGUUGUUGAGCAUGGGAAUGCACUGGUUGCUGCUGUACAGGAGGCACAUUAGGGACUUGACCAGGUGAAGGUAACAAACCAGGCUGUUGAGGGUUUUGAAUUGGACCAUGAGAUUGUGGUGGACGUAACAAAGGAGGUUGUUGAGGGAACUGACUCUGCAUUUGAACAAGAUGUGAUUGUGGUUGAGGCCCACCUUGAGGAUACAAAUGUGCAGGAUGUUGCAGACCUCCCAGCUGCAUUUGCUGUUGAGACUGUGGUUGGGUAUAAGAGUUAUGGCCUGUCACUGCAUGGGCUGAUGAAUGUUGUAGCUGAGGCUGGAGAUGAGGAUUCAAUGGCUGGUUUGGUUGAGAAGUAAAGGCUUGUGGAACAGGCUGCGAAGGAUGUUGAGCAUGUGUCUGAGGCAGACCUUGUGAAUGAUGUCGAGGUUGAGGAACAGGAUACUGAGGAUGAAGCUGAGAAUGAGCCAGUGCCUGAACUUGGGGUUGCGGAUGCUGAAUCUGCGAAUGAGGCCGCGGAUUUUGAGGCAUUUGUACAUGUUGAAGAUGAUGCUGAACAGGGUGGGUUUGUGGGUGCUGCUGAGCCUGAGAUUGUGGUUGGCCAUGGGGGGGUGGGUUAAUCUGUGAUUGUAUUUGAGACUGUGGCUGAACAGUGUGAGUUUGUUGCUGCAGAUUGACUUGUGGCUGGUUCUGGGGCUGAGCAGCAGCAGCAGCAGGCGCCUGAACAUGUGGAUUUGACAGAGAUUGUGUUUGCAGCUGAGUCUGAGGUUGAACUUGCUGUUGAGGGAACUGAGGCUGCAGAUAAACCUGAGGUUGUGGAUAUUGCGGAACUGCUUGCUGUUGAUAAGGGUAGUAUUGCUGAUAAUGCUGUUGAUAAGGAUCAUAUCCAGGAUAUUGUUGGUAGUACUGUUGAUAUUGUUGCUGCUGUUGAUACCACUGUUCUGCUGUGGGCACAGUAGCCUGCACUACAGACUGGGGCUGUGAAGUUUGGUUGGCUUGCUGGUUGGGAUCUUGUACAGGUAAUGGGGUUGCUGUGGUUUGAGAUGUCUGAUCCUGAGUGGUAGUAGUUCCUGCCUGAGCAGCAACCUGGGUGCUAACAGGUGUUGUCCCUGUGGCUGUAGCAUCCUGGGCAGCAUCCGACUGAGCUUGAGACUGCACACCAGGACAAUUUUGUGCAUGUUCCUGCACUUGACGAUGCACAAUUUGAAUACCACACCGGUUACAUACAACAGGAGAAUUACCAAAGGCACAUCCAGAACAAUGAGAAGUACACUCAGAUAAAGGACCCUGCCAAGUGCAUCCAC
rnacentral:misc_RNA from 1 species